UACGUAGGGGGCUAGCGUUGUCCGGAUUUAUUGGGCGUAAAGAGCGCGUAGGCGGCCGAGUAAGUCCGACGUGAAAUCUGGAGGCUCAACCUCCAGCGGUCGUUGGAAACUACUCGGCUAGAGACCGGAAGAGGAGAGUGGAAUUCCUGGUGUAGCGGUGAAAUGCGUAGAUAUCAGGAAGAACACCGAUGGCGAAAGCAGCUCUCUGGGACGGUACUGACGCUGAGGCGCGAAAGCGUGGGGAGCGAACAGG
rnacentral:rRNA from 1 species